AUUGAACGCUGGCGGCAGGCCUAACACAUGCAAGUCGAACGAGUGGCGGACGGGUGAGUAAUGUCUGGGAAACUGCCUGAUGGAGGGGGAUAACUACUGGAAAGGGUAGCUAAAACGGAAAACACUCAGAUUGGCCAAGAUGGGAUUGGCUGGUGGGUGGGGUACCGGCUCACCAAGCCGACGAUCCCUAGCUGGUCUGAGAGGAUGACCAGCCACACUGGAACUGAGACACGGUCCAGACUCCUACGGGAGGCAGCAGUGGGGAAUAUUGCACAAUGGGCGCAAGCCUGAUGCAGCCAUGCCGCGUGUAUGAAGAAGGCCUUCGGGUUGUAAAGUACUUUCAGCGGGGAGGCGUUACCCGCAGAAGAAGCACCGGCUAACUCCGUGCCAGCAGCCGCGGUAAUAC
rnacentral:rRNA from 1 species